rnacentral:rRNA from 1 species
GAACGGCAGCGCGGGGGGUAACCCCUGGCGGCGAGUGGCGAACGGGUGAGUAAUACAUCGGAACGUAUCCUGUAGCGGGGGAUAACCUCUCGAAAGAGAGGCUAAUACCGCAUACGACCUACGGGUGAAAGAGGGGGAUCGCAAGACCUCUCACUAUUGGAGCGGCCGAUGUCGGAUUAGCUAGUUGGCGGGGUAAAAGCCCACCAAGGCUACGAUCCGUAGCUGGUCUGAGAGGACGACCAGCCACACUGGAACUGAGACACGGUCCAGACUCCUACGGGAGGCAGCAGUGGGGAAUUUUGGACAAUGGGCGCAAGCCUGAUCCAGCCAUGCCGCGUGGGUGAAGAAGGCCUUCGGGUUGUAAAGCCCUUUCGGCUGGGACGAAAAGAUUCGGGUUAAUAACCCGGAUCCAUGACGGUACCAGCAGAAGAAGCACCGGCUAACUACGUG